CACACGAGAACGGGCUCUCCUCUCUCUCCCUCGCCUCCCGAUCCCAGCCGCCAGGAGGCGCCCCACCCCACGCGGCGGUCGAUCCGGUGCCGCGCCGGCGAGCCGGCCGGCAUCCGCGCCUUCGGAGUCCUCCUCGGCGCCUUUCUGCAUGGGGACGCAGACGGAGGAGCUCGCAGCCAGGUUGGCGGCCAGGGGCCCCCAGCGGCAUCGGCGGACCAGGAGGAGGAGGAGGACGCGGGCCUGGGCGGACCGGGAGGAGGAGGAGGACACGGACUUGGGCGUCGUGCCGGCGGUCGUCGCGGCGCUGGCCGAGCCCGGCGCGUCACCGGCCGCGCUCGUCCAUGCGGCGGCCGCGGCGAUGAGCUUUGCUUGCGGCGUAGACGAUGGCGCGUGGGCCGUGCUUGCUGCUGGCGCCAUGGGGCACCUUACGCGGCUCCCCGCCCACCCCCACAACAAGAUUAUAUAGCAACAACCAGGAACUACCAUACAACCACACAUUCCACCUAUGAGUAUGAAGAUCUGUGACAAGGAAAGAGCAAUCAUGAGGCCUUAUAUGCUUAGCUAUCUCAUCCAUUGAUGAUCUCUUUCAAGGAACAGAAGGACUUCUUGUUCAUUUAGAGAGGAUCAAUCUUUUGAUUUUUUGUUACUUAAUAGACUAAAUCUUGAGCAUUGGAGGAGGUAGCACCUGGACUGGUGAAGACGCAAACGGGGACAUGAGGAGGUUCAUGGUGGUUCCAGGCUCAUCUCUUCGGUGAGCAGCAGUGCGCUACGUUGGACAGUUACCAAGGCUGGACGGAGGUGUGCCCGUGCGGCCGGACGGUGUCGUCCUGGUCGAGCAGAUCGCCGUACCAAGGCUGCCUGCCGGACUCCAAUUCCCUACCGUUGUCAAGCUCUAGAUCAAGCUCCACAUGGACCUGUCUAUCCGUGCGAUACUGCGUUUCCUCUGGUGGCCGUCUGUUCCGCUUGGCGUUUCGUCUGGAUCUGAGAGGAGAAGGCCUCAAGGAGGGAGACGGGGAGGUUCAUGGAACCAUGGAAGUUUUCAGUUGAGAUUAGUUGAAAGAAAAGGGAAAUUUCCCAUGCUGCCAUGCGAGAGUCAGAGGUGGGUGAGUUCCCUCAUCCCGGCUGUAGCAACAUUGGUCACCACUCUAUGCGCAUCUGUGCCGCCAAAAUCAGAUUUCAUCUAGGUGUAUCAAGCAGAUUGUGAAGAAAAUGCACGUGAAGAUGGUUCCUCGGUAUGAGAAUCCGAUUAACAUUCUCUUCAAGAAUUAAGGCAAAUUGUUUGUAUGUAAUUAACCCUCUCCUGUGAAGAUUCAGAAUCAUAAAAGAUAGUAUUCAGGUACGUGUACGUCCGCUCGAACGCAAUCACAUUCCGGAACAGUGACUUGCUGGAGUCGUUGAGCUCUAGCUGUGGGAUCUCCAGCAGCUCAAGUCUAGGAAGCUCGUCACAAUCUUCCUUCAAUUUCACUGCCGAUGUUCUAGCUAUUUUGUAGGUACAGAUGGACAGGCUUCAUGUUCAGGAAUUUGACACACGCGGUGGAGAUUUAAUGGACUAAGUACCUUUUUUUAGGUAACAUCGUGAUUAAUUACCGACACGUGCAGUUAUUGGCUGCAUUCUAUUAGUCAUACAGAGAGCCACACUGACAAAUUUCUAUUUAGAGGAAGUAGGCACAAGUAGACUGGAAAAACACAAAACAGCGGGAGAUGUCAUGUUCAGCAGCGACAACACCAUUGCUCUUCAUGUUUUAAGUUAAACCUGUAUUACUUCAGAAUGAUUAGUCAAAGAUCGGUGAUUGUUAGAGGCCUGAAGUUAAUGUGAGAGGAAGGAGCAUGAGCGGUCUUUUCAAUACAGCGUGUGUGCAUUUGCCGAUUCUGCUGAUGUUAAUUUUUCCUUACUGGCAUAGGUUGUCAAGGAUUGUUCUAUCCGUCUUAAGAGAAAUGUGUUCAAAGUGAA